rnacentral:pre_miRNA from 1 species
AUUAUACUCCCUCCGUCCGAAAAUACUUGUCAUCAAAAUGGACAAAAAGGGAUGUAUCUAAAACUAAAAUACAUCUACAUACAUCCCUUUUAUCCAUUUUGAUGACAAGUAUUUCCAGAUGGAGGGAGUAUAUA